UGUUGAACUUGAUUAAAGUGUGCAGCUUCUGUACAGGUUGGUGUAACUUUGAAGUUUUAUUGGGGCAAUAGAGGGUUAAAAUGAACACCCUUUAGUUAGUAUAAAGACCCCUUCUGAGGGUCAAAAGCAAAAGUUACCACAGGGAUAACAGCGUAAUUUUCCUUGAGAGUUCUUAUCUAGGGGAGGGUUUGCGACCUCGAUGUUGAAUUAAGGUUACUUCCACGGCGCAGCAGCUGGGAAGAGUAAGACUGUUCGUCUUUUAGGCCUU
rnacentral:rRNA from 1 species